UACGUAGGGUGCAAGCGUUGUCCGGAAUUAUUGGGCGUAAAGAGCUCGUAGGCGGUCUGUUGCGUCGGCUGUGAAAAACCCGGGGCUCAACCCCGGGCCUGCAGCCGAUACGGGCAGACUAGAGUUCGGCAGGGGAGACUGGAAUUCCUGGUGUAGCGGUGAAAUGCACAGAUAUCAGGAGGAACACCGGUGGCGAAGGCGGGGUCUCUGGGCCGAUACUGACGCUGAGGCGCGAAAGCCAGGGGAGCAAACGGG
rnacentral:rRNA from 1 species